AUUUGCAUAUCUCCAGAGCCCACCAGCUACUUAAGUGCUUCUUCAUAGGCUGCUCAUCUCAGGCUGUGCAGUUUCAGUCCCAGUCAGGACACAGCAUGGGUAUGAAGAUCCCUGCUCACUUUCUGAGCCUCUUGCUGCUCUGGGUUCCAGGUGCCAGAUGUGAUAUCCAGUUGACACAGCCUGCAUCCACAUCUGCAUCUGUGGGAGACACCGUCACCAUCAGUUGCCGGGCCAGUCAAGGGAUUAGCAGUUACUUAAGCUGGUAUCAGCAGAAACCAGGGCAAGCUCCUAAACUCCUGAUCUAUCGUGCCACCAAUUUACAAUCUGGGGUCCCAUCAAGGUUCAGUGGCAGUGGAUCUGGGACAGAUUUCACUCUCACCAUCAGUAGCCUUCAGCCUGAAGACUUUGCAAUUUAUUACUGUCAGCAGUAUGCUAGUUCCCCUCCCACAGUGAUACAAGCCAUGACAUAA